UCCCCCGCCCUUGUCCGCGGGGCUGCCACAGAGCCACGUCUCGGGGAGCGUGGCCCCGCCGCCUCCUGUCCCGCAGAACCCCCGUGGAUGGAGCUGGCCGGGCUUGGGCGAGUCGCCCAUGGACAUGCCACAGCAUCCCGGCAGCCACUCCAUAAAUGCUCUGCUUCCAUAAAAUCGGAAGUAUUUCAGUCUACCCUGAUCUCCCUAGACUGACCAAGACAAAGGCCAGUUGGCCUGGCACAGAGCCCGCAGUGAAGCACACUCAUGACUUCUCAUCUGUGCUGCUGGACACUCAUCUGCCCCUACAUUCGGUCUCUUCUUGAUGCUCAGCAUGACUAGUCUCUCAUUCCUACCUGUGCCUGCCAGUGAUGAGCCAGCUGCUGCCUGUCAAUGACAUGAUACCCAUCAAAUAAACUGUACCCCCACAACUGUAUUAACCACACUUUGUGAUAAAGAUAAAAAAUAGCUUGAUUUUUGAACGUGUUGCUAAAUCAACACAUGGGCCUGAGCAAAACACAGAUGCUUAGUACUGGGAAAGGGCAUCCAGGACAGCAGUGACAAACAUCUAAGACAUGGUGGUGCAGGCUCCCUGAGAAGCCCUACUCCAGUCAAUGUCCCUGGCUGCUCCUGAAAACAACGAGAAAUCAGUCUGGGGUACUAGGAGAAUUCAUGCUUAAACUUGAAACAAAGAAAUAAUUGAGAAAGGGAAGGGGAGAACUUGAGCUGGGUUGACACAAAGAUUUCUUUAGACACACAGCAAUGGUCAGGAGGAAAAGCAGAGUAAGAAAAAGAGUCACAGCAAAAGCAUUGCUGCCAAUGGAGCUUUGAGUGAGGGGCACAGUCAAAUCAGUUUUCUAAAAGCAUGGUCAAAACAGAGGGAAAAGGAGAAGGAAACUGGAGGCUAUGCAAGCUUUAAUGUAGUUACUUGGGCAGCACAGUACUGAACCAGUACCACCUCUAAACUGGGGUAGCAUCAUGCAGGUGUUCCCACAGUCUCCCACACUGGUUGCUGUCCUGCUUCUGAGUCCAGGCUGCUGCAUCCCUGCUGCCGUAACCUGCAUGGCUGGGUUGCAGUUAAGAUGGGGGACAUCUAUUUUCUGCUACACUCACAUUAUGUUUUCGAUGCUUGGAUACACUUGCCAGGGAUCAGCCUUACAUCAGCGCUACUCCUGUCAUUGCCUUCCUCUAACUCACCUUGUCAUCAUAUCUCGCAUCAGAGGACACUGAACACGCAUGCGCUCUCUUCCUAAGGGCUUUCUCGAUAACUCCACAUUUCCAUUAACAAAUAAAAGUACUUCAUUCUAAGAAGGUCAGUAAUUAUACCAUAUCAUAAGGAACACGAGCAUCCAAAAGAACAGUCUAGCCUGGAGGGUGGUGAAUGGGCUGAUGCAUCCAAGCCUGGUGCCAGGAUGGAGAACACAAAGCUUCACCCCAGGGCAAAACAGGCAGGACACCCACACAGAUGCUCAUGGAAGGCCCAGGAUGCAGCAGGCAGUACCACGACCUUUGUAACUCUGAGAAGCAUCACUGGCAUUUGCAAGUUUAGGAUCAGGUGAGUCCAAGGAAGGCUGUUGCCAUCUAUUUUCCCAGCAGGUGACUGUGUGGCAGCCUGAGGCCAAGGACCUCUCACAUCUGGCUUCCAAUAGCCCUGUAUUUAGUCCGGGCACCUCGUGGGCCUCUGCCAAGGUUCUUGGCCUGGGCAUCACACCUCUGGCACACCCUCUGCCACAUGGAGCCACAGGGCUGCCCUUCCCCAGGGGCUGCUCCCCAUGAUCCACAUCCCACGUCAAUGCCUGAGAGGCACUGCCAUGUUGCUGCCUCCAUGGUGACAUAGGUGACACUAGUCCCUCUGCAUUGUGGGGGCCCACAGCAACCCAUCACAGGAAAACAGCAAGAUUUUGUGUGAUGGAAGCAAGACAGCACUGCUCUCAGCCGAGCAGCUUAGCCUGCGCUCAUUCAAGAUGCAAGAAGACAGUGAAUAGUGAGCCCCCCCUCCCCUUCUUUGCCAGACAUGCUCCCACUGUGCUGGCUUUGCUCUCCAGCCUCUCAGGGUGUGUGGACUGUGUCAGGGAUGAGAGCACUGCACCUGGGCUCUGCUGCCGAGCACUGUGUGUUUUGCUGGCAAGGCUUUGUCUCUCUGACAGACUUGGCUGCCAAAGAAAAACCCCUGACCAAACAAUUGCUUAGACUGCAAUUUUUGCACAGCCCCGCCAACACUUUGCUUGGGGCUCUGUGGAUGGUCUCUGUUUUCUAGAGAGCACAAGGCUAGAGGCCAGGCCAAGGAGGAUGAUUCUGCCUGUGUCACUCUUUCAUGUUUGAGCAGGGCCCAGUGCUCCUUGACAGAUGUCUGAAGUUGCCCAGUUCAGGAUGGCUCAGAGUGGCAGUAAGGGUUUGUGAACACCAACUGUGUCUCCUAAUUUGGUUUCCACCAAAAGGCUGCUUUAGAUGGCAGUGAAAGUGUCUCUGGUCCAGGGCAAAGGAUAUAACCACUUUCUUAUGUUCUGGAUCCUGGCCUUUAUCCAAGGUGGGCGUGUUCACCUGACACUUCUAAGGGCAAGCCAGUAGUUGUGUCACUGGCACGAUUCAUGUGUGGUCAGUCCUGAGAAUUAACUCGAUUGGUCUUGAUCCUACCACAUUCACCUAUUCCACUGGAAGAAGAGUUUUCCACUGGUAUGAGAGGACGUGGAGUGAAAACCAUGCAUCCAUCUGGGCUGCUCAGGGCAACAGCCCUCACGCUGAGAGGGCUGGUCCUGCCCUACCUGGGCAGCAGACGGUGACAGCUUUGCCUCGUUGGCUCUUAUCCUCUGGGUUUCCUGGGCGAUGCGAUUCCCUGUGUGCCACAGGCUGGACAUGCUCAACUUAGCUGCCCUGGCAGCCUGCCAAAGACACUCACACCUCCUCUGCUUUCAGUGGAGAAGCUUUGUUUCACAAAGGCUGUCCGGUGUCUGUCCCACCUGCUUGGGUAAGUGCAACUGGGUGGGGAUCCCUGGGCUUUGGGAGGGAUGGGCUGUUGCCCACAGCUGGUGUGCUGAUCUGGGGAAAUGGGCUCUGACAUGGCAAGCAGGUGGUGCGGUGAGCCCAGCCCAGGGGAGCUGGGGUGGAGCUGUGUGCUAAGUGAAGGGGCACCUCCUGCACUCCAGGAUCACGGUCCUGCUGGGAUAAGGCUGAGCAGGGCAAGAGGAGGCUUAUGGAAACAGUUCUCCAAAGGCCAAAGGACACCUACUGGAGCUGUGAAGGCCCCUGUGUCCAAGGUGGGUAGGUGGAAACAGGGACCUGCAGCUAUAGGGAAGCUCGGAACAGGGAUGACGGAGCACCAGGAUGGAGAGUGGGAGCUCAAGGGCUUCCUUGGGGUGACCACAGGCCCCAGCACUGCAAACCCAACCCAAACAAAUAGGUGAGAAUAAGAAAAGAACUUGUAUGUGGGAAAGGAAGCAGAAAUUGAAAUUGUGCCUUAAAAUGGGAGGGAGGGGAGAAAUGUCUUCUACUUGAGAAGGCACUGAAGAGCUUUUUGUAGCACACUGUAGGAUGAGAUAUGACAAGCUGAUGCUUCCCGUGUGAUCUGGUUAUUUAAUGCAAUGUGCAGUCCUUGGAAGUGUUAGUGCUUAACUAUUACUGUUAAAACAUUAAAAAGCUAAACUAUAAAUAGCUUCUAUAGCAGUUCCCAAGCUAUGUUUCUGGGUUCUUUAUGUAUUGAUGUGUAUGCAUAGUGAUGUGUGUGUAUACAUAUAUUUGAAGACAAGCAGCAGACAACAGAGUUUUGUGAAACAGUCAUACUGAAUAUCUGAAAUGCUACCACUUCUAGUUUACACUACUAGUGGAAACAAGUAGUGUGCCCUCAAAUAUACCCCUGCUGGGGAAAGGCAAAACUUUCUUGAGGACUGAACUUGAGAGGAAACAAAAUAAUGACUCAAGUUCUUGGGAGAAGGGAAAGAAAAAAGAAAAAAAAAAAAGAGGCAGAUAUAUGCCUGAAAGAAAGACCAGAAACUAAAUACCUAAUUAUACCCUGCAGUAAGCUGUCAGAAACUGGCAGCAGUGGGAGGGAAGGAGGCAAAGCUGAUCUCAGUGAGUUUGAGCAUAAUCUGCUCUAACCAUACUUAAAAUGCCUUUUGUGUGGGAAUGGAAGGUUCUGGUAUUCUCUGACACAUGCUUUGUACUGCACUUAUCUAAUCCAUUCAAACGGUCAGGGCUGAAGUUACAGACAAGUGUAAAAGAGUCUCACCUGGCCAGCACCAAAAUUCAACGAUGCCUCAGCUUCUGAAUGCAGUCUUUGUAACUAAACUGCUGAUCCAGUACUACAGUUCAGGGAACACAGAUACUCUUCAAAAGGAUAUACAAGUGUAACAGUCUAUUGCUUGUAAUUACACUUCGGUUCAAAGAGUUUUCGAUGCCAGCAUAAAAUGCCAAGACAUUUCUUCCCAUGCUUGUAGCAGGGCAGGGGUUUGGAGAGUGGAUUUGGGGUUUGAUCUUGUUAUUUUGUACUUCCUCAGUCUUAGCAUUCAGUGUGUAUUGAACUGACCCUGAGGAGAAAGUUCUUAGCAGUUGAACUGACUGAAAGGGAAAAGUGGGUUUGUCAUAGUGAAUUUAGAGACAAGUGUUUUAUUGAUGGAAGUUUGGUUCCUUGAGAACGUGUAGCUGCCUUGCUGGUGUGGGAUUUUAAACUGUUGCAGACCUGGAUCUAUAAAGGUCUUAAAGUGCAUAGUUUUCAUCAAAUUGACUGUGACAGUAAAAAACAUAAAGACUUGUGCUUUUACAAUUGGGGUGAGUAAGAUUCAGUAAUGGAAGGGUUUGGGCAGGCCCCCAAAGGCAACAGUUACCAGGGCGAGCAGGUAACUGCAUAGCUUGUGUUCAAGGCCCACCAGUAUCCACACACUAAGCACUUUCCAGGGGUUGCCCCGGUAGGCACUUCUCACAGCAUUCACCUGGGAACAAACUCCAACUUAAAUAGGGCUCCCAAUCCUCUUUUUCCAGUUGGUCCUUCUUCAGUGUUUCACAGUGCUGGUGUUUAACUCUGCACCUUAUGGUGGUUAAGGAUUUCUGUGGGACCUACCUUCCACCUAAGGCUGCCUCGAAGGGACACCUGAACCCCAGGCUGCCCUUUUGCUUUGACAACAGUGUAGUGAUUAAAAGCAUUCAUCUGAGAGGAUCAGGUUGUGAUCUCUUUCUGCUUAACUAAAUCUUGAUAUGACCUAUCUUGGGUGUGUGAUCCAUCUACCAGAGUACUUGGUAAAAGGAGGAUGCUGGUUAACACUUUUUAUUAUUACAGGUCAGGGACAUAGAUCAUUUCUCCAGGAUGUAGAAUAUAAUUCUAUUCCUCUCUCUGCUAAGAAUGGGAAUCCUUGCCCAGUCCAUCCAAAACAGCUUUAUUGAUUGUUGCUUUCAACACCAAGAUCUCAGGACUCUACAUCAUGCUUGUUUUGCUGUCUAAUGUGACUCCUGUGAGCUGUGAACUUUGUAGAUGGAAAACUUUCUGAUGGAAUAUGCUAUAAGAACAAUGCAAGCGAAUUGGCUGUUCCUAAGAUCAUUAAAAAUGACUGUUUCUACCUGGAA